GACGAACGCUGGCGGCGUGCUUAACACAUGCAAGUCGAACGGAAAGGCCCUGCUUUUGUGGGGUGCUCGAGUGGCGAACGGGUGAGUAACACGUGAGUAACCUGCCCUUGACUUUGGGAUAACUUCAGGAAACUGGGGCUAAUACCGGAUAGGAGCUCCUGCUGCAUGGUGGGGGUUGGAAAGUUUCGGCGGUUGGGGAUGGACUCGCGGCUUAUCAGCUUGUUGGUGGGGUAGUGGCUUACCAAGGCUUUGACGGGUAGCCGGCCUGAGAGGGUGACCGGGGAAGGUGGGACGGAGGUACGGGCAGGACGCGAGGGGGAGGCAGCAGGGGGGAGUAUGGCAGAAUGGGCGGAGGUGUGAUGCAGCGGCGCCGCGUGAGGGAGGAGGGAGUGGGGGUUGGAAACCGCUGCCGCCUGUGACGAGGCGUGAGUGACGGUAAGGGGGAAAGAAGAAACGGCUAACGACGGG
rnacentral:rRNA from 1 species